rnacentral:misc_RNA from 1 species
GGCCUCGUCCUCAUCGUACUGCCCUGGCUGAGGAUGAUCGGCUGGAGUUGAGGCACAAAUGUCGAGAGCGCGAUUGCCCUGUCUUGCUCCGACCAGGAGGCCGAACUUACGGACCGGUGCGUACCGGCAGGNNNNNNNUUCAGACCGCCUCUUGAUGUAUCGCCAUCACCUGAACUUUGGAAUGAGGCCGGACAAGGGACGCUCCCUGGAAGCCGCGGCCUGGCCCCAGUGGACCGUAAGC